rnacentral:rRNA from 1 species
UACAGAGGUCCCAAGCGUUGUUCGGAUUCACUGGGCGUAAAGGGUGCGUAGGCGGUCGGGUAAGUCUGAUGUGAAAUCUCACAGCUUAACUGUGAAACUGCAUUGGAUACUAUCCGGCUAGAGGAAUGGAGGGGAGACUGGAAUACUUGGUGUAGCAGUGAAAUGCGUAGAUAUCAGGAGGAACACCGGUGGCGAAGGCGGAUCUCUGGGCCUUACCUGACGCUCAGGCGCGAAAGCUAGGGGAGCGAACUGG